UCUACUAUUCCAGAAAAAAAGCUAAAUCCGAUGCUGUGAGCUGCCUCAUAGGUGAUAUUUGCAUAUUUGUUUUAAAAAACUGAGCUUGAAAAUAACCCCAGAUGAAAACUAUUUAGGUACACUACACUACUUGCAUCUAGUUAGGACCUGCAGAAAACCUGCUGUAUUAUAGUAAGAAAAGAGGCGUGAGCUUUUAGCUUUUAGGAUUUCUUCACUGCCCCAAAGUCAUGUCGCUCACACUCUUUUCCAGUCACUUGUACGUAAUAUUAACAUGUAGUAAUCAAUCGGAGUCAAAACAGUCUUUAGAUAAAUAAUGACCAAAUAGACUCACGGUUGGUUGAUGUUGAUUAUAGAAGCAGUCCCUACUAUAAAGUAGAUGUGAAGGAAAAAAAUUGAACCUUUCACUUCUUUUUUGUUCAAAUCUUAUCAUGUCGUUCAAAUAAUUGAGAAAUCUCAUUUUGGAGAAUAAGAAAAAUCGAGAAACCUAUAAGCUAUAUCACUCUCUCUAUGGUUUAUUACUUUAUUAAUUAUAAAAUUUUAUGCAAUUUCUUGGAGCUGGAGCCUGGAGGCAUUAUGAAACAUGAUAUUACUGUUUGAUAUCGUAUACAUCAAAGAGGGUUUCUGAGUACGAUUCAACAAACGAAUCCCAAACUCAUUUCAAACUUCGAUACUUGACUUUCAAUGUAAUCUUAUUGAAUCUUUUUGUGAAUAUAUAAUAUUUUGAAAGGAAACAAGGUACAUGCCAAAGAUGAGAGUGUAGUCUUAUUCUUGAUGUGGAGGUUUGAUUAGGAUAGGAACAUGUACAGUAGAAACUCUAUAAAUUAAUAUUCGUUAAAUUAAUAAACACGAUAAAAUUAGUAAAAAAAAUUGGUACUGAAUUCUAUCGGUUUAAAAUAUGACAUAAAUCGAUAAAGUAAUAUGAUAAUAUAUUUUAAAAAACCAUUAAUAAAUAUAUGAUCCCAAAAAAUCAGAAAUUAAUAAUUUACAUAUAGACACAAUGGAACCAAUAAAACAUUAUAUUAUUUAUUUCACUAGGGGUUGGCCCGCCCUACGGGCGGAUGAUGUUACAUUAAAAUUAUGUUAUGCUAAAAAUGUAUUUUAAUUUUAUAAAACAUUAAAAAUUAAUUUUCUAAUUAGAUCAUAUAUAAUUCUAAGCAUAUAUAAUUUUCUAAGCAUGACCACAAACCAAAAAAGCACAAAAACGAAAGCAAAAUUUUAAAAUUUUAUUUUGAGUUUUUCUAAACUAAAAUAUAACAAUAGUAGAACUAUAAUUAUAUGUAGAACUGGACAGAAAACCUGGAUCCGGAAAACCGAACCGAACCCGAUCCGAAAAAGUAAUAUCGAACCCGAACCAAAAUUAACUAAAUAUCCGAACGGAUUCAAAAUUUUGAUAUUUAAAGAAACUAAAACCGAACCCGACCCGGUUUAAAGUAUUUUGGGUACCCGAAUGUACCUCGAAUAGAUUUAAAUACAUCCAAAAUAUAUAAAAUACUUUUAAGUUUUCCUAAAUACUUGAAAAUAUACACAAAUAAUCAAAAUUAAAUGUCAAAAAUAGCUAAAAUAUAUUCAAAACACUACAAAUACUUGAAAGACUAUCCAAAUAUUCAAAUCAAACCAAUUUAUAUGUUAAUUUUAUGUACUUUGACAUAUGUUAUUCAAAUUUAUAUGUAACUAGGGUCGGCCCGCCCUACGGGCGGGAUAUACUUUAUUUGUGAUCUACAUUAUUAUUUUGUAUGAUUUUGUGGUUUGUGUUUUAGGUUUGCAUUUGCAAUAGAUGUGUAUGAUAAUAAUUUUUGUAUGAUAAUGAUUUUUGUCUUUUAAAAAAAUUAUAAUAUUCUAUAAUUGUAUUAAAGAUCCAAUGCAUCGAUAGUUUGGUACAUUACAACAAAUAAUAGUAUUGAAAAGAAAAAACCUCAAAAAAUAAUAUGGGUUAAGACAUAUUUGUAUGGAUUGAAGGGAUUCCAUUUAAUUAUAUCAGAUCAGAAAAGAGUUUACAGUCAUAAAAUCUAAAGACACAUACACAUAGAAGUUCUAUAUCACACAAUGCAUAGACAUACAAAAACAAAUGAAAGCUCUCAAAAAACUCUAUAUCAUUGUUUUUAUUCAUUGUUUUUCCUCAUUAGAAAGCAAUACAUUUUGUUGCUCACAACCCUAACCCAUCUUCCUUGGAACCAUCUCCAUCUUCUCAGCGUGAUAGAUCAACUCCAAGAAGUGGCCAAGAAGAUCAUGAGGUGAGAGAUGAGAAACAUAAUGGAGAUGCUAUCAAGAAGACACCUAGAUGCCACACAACAUGCUCCAAUCAUUCCUCCACAAUUCCUAGGCGAAGGUUAUUGUAAGACAAUUGGUGAAAUUUAUAGCCACCUAAAAUCUGCUUUCUCUUCAGUGGCUGGUGAACAACUUAAAAAUUCAGAGUUAGUAUAAUCAAAAUUAUAUGCUAUAAUCAUACAUUAUUGUCUUAAGGUAUUAUACUUGCGUCUUGACUUUAGAAGCGAAGGAAAUCAACCAAAUGAAUUCUACAGAGUAUUAAUUUAUUAGUAGUUUACUGAAACUUCAUCUUGAACCAAAAAUAUUAAAACAUAAAACCACAUAAUACGCUGAUAAAAAAAAACCACAUAAUGCAAAAGUUGUUCCAAACCACUCUGAUGUUCAACUUGUUGUGUUGCAUAAAAGUAGAUCACAUGUUAAGUAGGUCCAUAGUUCUUAGCUUCUCGGACUUAUAUGUACCCAAUCUUCCAAGCCUGAAAUGUAACCGUGAUUUAGAACCCAUAAGUUUCAGAAAAAAAUGAUAAUAAUUAGAAAGUUCAUCUAAGCAUUUAGCCACAAUUAACCAAAAAACUUCAGCCAAGAAUCAAGUUUCAGCUAGUUAAGUAAUUUUCUAUCUUUCAAUCUCUCUUAUAUCUACUUGGGUUAUAUGCUCUGCAUAGAUCCUGGUAUAGAAAUGUUAAGCUCUAGUCUCAUUGGAGAGUCUGUAUAUCUGCGACAUGCACGUAUAUGUACGACUGUGGAAUGAUUUCAGCGUGAGUUCAAUCUAAGUUCAGCGUUUGAGUAGCAUCUGCAGAUUUGGUCAUGGAUGCCCACCGAGAGGAGAUAGAUGCUUCCAUGAAUGUUAUUUUCACAUGAAAAAAAGAAAAGAAAAAACAACAACAGAACUAUACAAUCAGAUUCAAACCAGAACUAUAUAUAAAACACUGAUUGGUUUUGUUAAUUUAGAAAAUAGAUAAU